rnacentral:tRNA from 1 species
GGUCCCAUCGUCUAGCGGUUAGGACGCUGGCCUCUCACGCCAGAAACACGGGUUCGAGUCCCGUUGGGAUCACCA